rnacentral:lncRNA from 1 species
GCAGAGACUUUAUAGAGGAGGUGGCUGGUGUCUCUGCAAGUUAAAGGCUGUCUUCUCUGAAUUCUUGCCUGGAAGGGAUUUGAUGAAUGGAUGUGAAAAUAUGUCAUGAAGCUGAAAUUUACAGAAAAGGAGAAGCUACUGUGGGGAAGGGAACAAGGCAUCAAAGUGACACACAAGCACCAUCCCCGCCUGUCCCGAAGAUGAGAGAGAGGUGAGCUCCGGGACCUGAUCCCGGGGAAGUGUUUCGCUCCCUGUCUUAGAAAAGCAAGGCGUUGGGACCUGAAGGUGUGAGUCUUGAUCCGAGCGAGCUGAGAAAACAGGGAUAUAUUAGGUCAGCUGGCAAGGCUGAGGUAUUCCUGGGGUGCACGUGGGGUCAUUUGAGGGACCAGUAGUGCUUAAGGGGAGGUAAAGGGGGCUGAGAGGCUUGAGGAAAGGCUCUUUGGUGGUGAAUUUUGCACCUGACUGUCCUCUUCCUUGGGAACCCCUAAAGAUCAGCAGGGAAAUGGAACUAACUAGGAAAAGGCAGGGGGAGAGAGGUGCGGAAGGAGGAGAGCUCAAGGGCUGAGGUAGGAGGGGUGAAAGAUGGAGUUUGUAUCCCUCACCCCCCGCCCUUCCCAUGGUACUUUCCAUCCCAGGAGCAGGUGAGGAGGGAAGGGCUUCACUGGCUGGUACCCAGGCUGGAUGUUAACGCAGGGUAAUAAUUCAGGCCAUUAGGAGGUCAUGCCUUUGUGGUUCAGUCAAUACUUGUUGAAUAAACCUUAAGGCAAAGUGAUUAUCUAUCUAUCUAUCUUGCUUUUUAGGGCUGUUCUCGUGGUAUAUGUAAGUUACCAGGUUAGGGGUUGAAAGGGAGCCACAGCUGCCGGCCUACACCCCAGCUAUAGCAACACUGGAUCCAAGCCAAGUCUGUGACGUACACCACAGCUCACAGCAAUGCUGGAUCCUUCACCUUCUGAGCAAGGCCAGGGAUCAAACCCACAUCCUCAUGGGUGCCAGUAGGGUUUGUUACUGCUGAGCCACAUAGAAACUUCUAUUAUUUAUUUUUAACCUGUACCCUACAAAUGCUCCUUCCUGAUCUUUUUUUUGCCUGGCCCAGAAAGACCCUUUCUGUGGUUAAUGGGUGCCUAGCUUUGUGCUGGUGCCCAAGAGUGCACUGCUGGUAGGUGCACAAGCUGUAGGACAGAUGUGCCAGAGCAGCUAGCGUUAGAUAAAAUAAACAUCAGAAGGAUGAAUGAGUGGUGGGAAUUCAUGGAAGGAUCCGGCACCUCCAUCUGGCAGAAGUGCUUUGAGACCUGGUUCAUCAUCUCGCUGUGGGCCUGAGUCUUGGCCACUCACCUCGAAGGAGACACUGCUGCUGUUUUCCGUGGAGGAUGGAAAUACUGGCUGAAGGGGACCCGUGUAUUACCAUUGCCUCAGCAUUGCCGCUGGCCUCUCUCAAGUUGCUUCCAGUGGCUAGGACAGGAGAGCGUCAUUCCUGCAGGAACAUAUGGCAUCCGGUGAAGAGGCCUGGGCCUGUUUCUGUAUUUGCAUAAGACCUAUCGCCUUUGCUGGGAAACUCAUAGUGGGGGUCACAUCUCUGUUUAUGAGGAAACAAGCACUCUCCACUCUGCAAUUCAGAAUGUUGCCAUAACCCCUGUGCAAGCAGGUGCUUGAUAGCGGCUCUUGAGGCCGAGUUGGAGAAGCCUGUGACUGAAAGGACCUUUAGGAUCAGCUGGUGCCUCUUUUCCUCUCCACACCAUGGAGGGUGACUUUCGUUAAAGCUCAUUUGAAUAGAGAAUUAAAUAGGCACCCAAGACUAAUUAAUGUUAAAAAAACCCACAAGAUAAUAGCCCCAAACUGAAAUCAAUGCACAUAUCUACCAAUAGGAAUGUGGAUAAAGGAAAUGUGGUAUUUCAUACCCUGGAAUACUGUCCAAAAACAAAAAGACAAAUUGCUGACACGUCAUAGAUGAACCUAAAACCAUUACUAAAAACCUACCUUAAAAAAAAGAAGAAGAUUAUGAGGUUGACAAGAGGUUGGAAGAGAAACAAACUAUACUAUGGGGAUAGAAAUUUUAAAAAGUAGUUAUUUCUUGGAGUGAGGGUGUCUGUUGACUGGAACAAGGGAUGAGAAAACUUUAUGGAA